GUCUUAUUGGUCAUCAGUAGAGGAGCAUUUGCAUAAAUGUGGCAUAUCCGUAGGACAUAAUUGUUUACAGUAAUUAAUAGCAGGCUAAUUAAUCUUUAUGUAUGAAGGAUCUCAGGGCAAAGUGUUACAUAGGAAAAAACCCAGCUUGCUGAAGAUCAAUACACAAGGCAUGGUCCCAUUGAUGAAGAAGGCACAGCACAGCAAGUCUACCCUGCUCUGGUGCUCUACCGCAACGUCACAGUCCACCCAGAAUGUCAUAAUAGCACAGUGACAUUUAACUUGCUUAUGGACUUGCAGUUUGGGCAGGGCUGGGAAGGCAUAGAGUAUUUCUGCUCCACUGGGCGUCAGCGGGGACUGGGGCUGGUGUCACCGGCAGGCUGGCAUGCUUCUGCUGGUUGGGACCUCAGCAGAAGCGGUGGCUGGAACAGCAGUGUGCGGUCGCCCCAGGUGGCAGUGACCCCAGGGUGACCAUUGGUAUACAGGAAGGGAUCAGUGGCGCUGCCCAGUCUGACCCUGCCUCAGAGUCUACGGGUUUGUGUCCCCUGCAUUCUCCCGGGGAGGCAGCACAACUGCUCACCCACGGUCGAGGGGACAGAAACUAGCUCCGCUCUUUAUUUUCUUAAGAAGUUCGUAGGAGAACGGGCUCCACCCUUUGACCAGAGGAGUGUGAGAUUUGUACUGUCUCUGCACGGUGGGUAAGAUGACCGCUGGAAGCCCCAGAUCUCAGUGCUUAGGGCUUACUCCCUCUGAUGAGAAGACAAGGAAUUUUGCUGGUAGCUCCAGAGAAGUCCCAGGACAGUCAGCAUGUCUACAUGUUUGGGGACUAACUCAGUACACCACAUUCAUCAGGAGUGCUUCACGGCUUUUCCAAGACUGAGCAUGCCAAGUGGUAUCCAUCGGAUGCUAUCGUCCAGAUCUUCGUUUCCAGGGUUGAUGCUCCACUUUCUUUGCUCUUAAGGAAUGUUGGCCUGACCUUCAACUAUAAAAAGAUUUCAAGUUGCCCAACACUGAAGAGGGGAACAUAAUGUCCUUGAUAAUGGAACAAUUAUUUAUCCCAUGAAUGCUCCAGUGUGACAACUUCAUGGUAUUGAUUACAGCUCACCAUGAAAAAAGCCCAGUGCCCAAGGCCUGCGUGGACGAGGCCAGGCCCACUGGAGCAGCCUGGCACAGUGAGGCACGGACUGGGCCCUUCCACCAGCAUGCACAGUGUCUUCCAGUGAGUGGCUGCACCACUUCUGGCCUCAGUUUCCUCACCUCCACAUUGAAGAGACUGAACUAGAUUUUGAGCCUGCUCUCAAAUUCAACCAAGGGAGAAAUGGUCUCGUUUAUGGAAAAGCAGCUGUAGAUGUGUCCCUCAUUGCAGCAUGAAACGGGAAGUGACUAGUUUAUGCCAAGGCUGGACUCGAUCUUCUUCAGCUGUACAGAAUCUCUAGUCCAUUUUUUAAGAAUACAUCUGUUAAAUUAAUCAAUAAUUGGCCAAAAAUAUCACUCAAACCAUUAUUUGUAUGGUACUUUAGCAUUUAUGAAGCACCUUCAGACAUUGUCCUGGGUGAUCCUCUGAACACGGGAUAGGUGUUAUCACGUCCUUACUUUGGGUUGAGAAGAGUGACUUCCUUGAGGUUACAGUGUAUGUGAUAAACUAGUCCCUAUUCACACCUUCUGACUUCAAGCCUCAUGCUGCUUUGUAGCAUGGCAUGCUGCUCCUGGUACAUUGCUUAAAACUUCAUGGGUAAACUACAGUCCUGAAAUUUACUAUAGGGCAAAAGGAGAAACUUUAGCAGCAACUGGUUUUCCUGGAGGAAAAUCAGAUAUAUAAGUAGCACUUGGUAGCACAGACAGGUAUUUGUGGUUCCUGCAGAUCCCUUUCAGGCAGAAGAGCCCAGCAUUAAGAUCUCAGGCUCCAACCGUCCUGGGCACCUAUUGCAGCUCUAUUCCUGGGAGACCAUGUGCGUUUCUUCCAUUUUCUACAGUUUUCUCAUCAUGUAAUGAGGGUAGUUCUCUACUCCAUAGAGCUGCGGGAAGGCUAGCACUGCUCCUGACUUGUCACAUGACCCAUCAAUGGGCCCUGACCAUUAGGCAGGUCUCCUAGCGCAGGGCGGUGGUAGAGGUGGCAGAUAGGGGCCUUGGUGCCAGGUGCAGGGUGUGUGGCCUCAUGCCUGCCACGUCCCUCACUGGAGGGAGGGACAAAAUGGCUAGCCACUUGUUAUUAGAAACUUCAUUAAAGUCUCAGCACUUUCACCGGGAAUGACAACCUCUUUGUGGCAGAACUGCUAUGAAGAUUUAACAUCAAGUAUACAAAGUACCUCGCACAGUGUCUACACAUAGCAGAUGAUAAAUGGUGGCUGGAUUUGCACACGCUAGUGACGCUGGACACCUUUAUUUAAAGUUGGCUUGCUUAAACAAGCCAUUUUCUCCUUCAGUAAAAACGUUCUACUUUACUGAAGCACGGAAUGGUACAAAUCAAGAGUUAACCUGUCACUCCGUUUGUAGUAACUUCCUUUUAAAAUGGGAAAACACCAACCACAUCUUUAUGAACAAAAUCAGACUAAAAAAAUCCAGAAGUCUACCUCCCAGACUGCCUAAAACCACCUGGACUUGGGGAUUAAAGAAGAAUGGACAAGGUAAAACAGGGAGGCCGAUGACUGCAGUGAAGUCCUGCUCCACAUACGCCAGUGAUUCCAGUCAUAAAUCACCUUAGAUGGAACGAGGAAAGCUAGACCUCCUACAAGAGCACAUUGUGUCUUUAAAAGUGCACAAACUAAACUUUUAAUCAUUUUGCCUAAUAAAAAGCUUUUAGUACAUUUUACCUGGAAUACUACAUAAUGUGAUAUUUCAAAUAAACAUCUACUCUUUCAAAAAUAGUAUAUAGUACUAUGCAGUGGCUUUUCUUUAAUGCUUUAUUACUUUAACAUUGACAACCACUGAUAGUCUCAGGUAGAGACGACUUGCAUAGCUCUAAUCACACCAAAGAACCACUGGCCAACAUCCAAGUCACUGGAAGGUAAGUCCCUGUGGGUCUGUGACUCCGGCAGGACCCCUCACCACCCCUACCAUCGGCCCCAGGAACACCACAGCUGCUCAAUAAACACCUGAUUGAAGGUAUGAAGUUCCCUUAGUUCAGUUUGAAAUACAAAGUAUUAAAUGAUAAUGGAAACACUUUAGACCUUUUAUCUGAACUGUAAUAACUUGAUUAUUAUACAAGUAUUACUGAACUUCUAAAAUAAGCAACUAUUCUACAUUAGAUAUCUUUUCACUAAUCUAUUUUUCAAAAACAAUUCAGUUCCAGGGUUACCAGGAUCUUUCUAUUGUAUCUAAUCAUGAUGUAAAUCAUAAAUCUUAAGCAUUCUAAGUAUUUAUUUUUUUACUGUCCACGACAUUUAAAAAAGUGACUUAAAACUGCCAAAUCCAACGAAAUUCGACUCUGUAUUGUAAACAUUUUUCAAAAGAAAAAAAUGGCUAGCCAUUUAUUAGAAACUUCAUUAAAGCUGGGGAAAAAUAUCCAACACUUGAAUAACUACAUGCUAGGCUCUUAUACACUAAACCUCAUGUCUCAGAACCAUCCUAUAUGAAACAGAUAUUUAAUAAGUGAAGAACUGCAGACCAAGAGUUAAGCAACUUAUUCAAACUAACUGCCCAAAGGACAAAAUGGGGUUCCUACACAGCAAGUUUGGCCUAUGAUGUCCCUCUUCACUACAUAGUUGUCUACACCAAAACUGAAUAACUAUGAAGAAAUCCACUAUCGCCAACUGUGUUCCACUGAAUCUUCUCUCCUGUAACUUCGUUUUCAUUAUUAGCUCUAAUUAAAAUAGAAGUGAAAAAUUAGCAUAGAAUUUCGUAUAAGCCAAGAUUUUUAAACUAUUUUUAUUGCUAUUGAAUUUGUACCAAGUAUUUUAAUU